GAGAGGAAGGAAGAGAAAAGGGAAGAUGAAGAGAAAAAGAGAAAGGAGUGAAAAAUAGAGUAGGAGUGAGUCUACCUGUUGGAAGUAGUUUUGAGUCAGAGGAAGAACCCUUCUUUAUUAGCAUAGGGACAAAAUAAGAGCAAUGAGUCAAAUAUGAAUAAUAACAUAAAGACAGUUAUAAGUGGGCCAGUAUCUAGACAAUGUUUUCUGUAGUUCCUACAGCAGUGGAACUCUUUCUCUGUUUUCCACUAUAAAUUAGCAUAAAGAGCGAAAUGCACCAUCUGCUUUCCUCGCUGCAUAAGUUAAAUAGGCCAUUAGGAAAUGCAGAGAAUCACACACCUAUGAUUAAACUGGAGCGUUAUGCAAAAGGAAUAACAUGAUGUUUAAAAACCUGUAGGAGAAUUAAAGAUAGAGAAAGAAGGGCUCCAGGUGGAAACGAUCAAAGAUGGAAACUAAAGCCGGGGCACAGAAGCCAUUUGGUGUACACAUACUCACCACAUACACCCACACUCCUAUUUGUAUGCUCAUACAAAUGAACAACAAAAAUGGUAAGUUAAAAUAUGUAGUGUUCCAUUAGCACCAGUGUUUAAAAGCCUGAUUUCCCCCACCAUUCUCAGGUGACAUACAUAUCAACCCAUACAAACACACCAAGUGUAGCCAUUUUCCCACAGCUGCAUGUGUGUCCCCACAGAGAGCCAUGCAAUAAUAAUGAAGAAAAGAGCAGCAGAAAAAGAAGCAGGUUCUAAAUUCAGACUCUUUUCAGACAGAAUUUAUUAAUGUUUGACUGUUCCUGCUGUACGAAUGAGACAUUAGCAUACUUGUGGACCCGGUGUCUUUGAUAGGGCCUGGUUUGGUUUACAUUUCUGGCCCUUGUUUAUUUACUCAUUUCAAUUAGGCUUCCAGUGAGAGAAGAGAGGAAUCAAAGGAAGGAAGAGAGGUGCAGGUUUGAUUUCUGCUGUGUGUUGAGAGUUAGCUGAGCUGCCAGCUUUUUGUUCUUGACUCUGCAAACAAGUCAUCCCAAUAUCCACAACACUGCUGUGUAUAGAGACUCUUAAGGCCACACAGACUCACAGUUAAUUACACAGAAUUACCAAAAUGAACGUAUUAAGAGGGGAAAUCUCCAUUUCAACACACUGUUGGCAUUUUGAAAUAAAGUACCAGAAUUGGUUAUAUGAAGUCCUCUUUCUCUAAUUGCACCUCUAUUAUUUUAAACAAGCAAUUUUCCUUUCCAUUGCUCCCUCACAAUAGGGUUUAUCAUUAAAUGGCUGAAGUUCAUUUCGCACACCUGUUUUGAAGGAUAAUUUCUUAUGACGCACCUGUUUUGAAGAUAUGUAAUUUAAUUUCCUAUUUAGGUCACAGUAAAGGCUGAAAUGUGAGUGCUGGAUUGCUGACUAGAGCAGGGUACAAAAAGUACAACAAUUCUGGUGAAAACUGCUAUUAUGACGCUAUUCCUGCAGUUAUAAAAGUUGUUGUCUGAGAGGAACAAGGAAACUAUUUGUACAAAUGGCCGCUAGUCAUUGUACCCUGGCUCAUUAUGACAGUGAAGUUGAUAACAUCACCUGAGAGCAGACUGUUUGAUCAAGUUUUAUACUGAACAGGAUCCAGCCAGGAAGAAAAGGUCAUGUAAUUUUGCAUUUCCUCUUUAAGAAUGCAUGUUACACACUGAACAAUAAUCCAGAUGGAUCUGAAAUGACAGAUGUGAUCAAACAAGUCAGUUACGCUAGUGUGAUCCCUGUAAAUAAAGGCAGGUCCCCGGAGCAGGAUGAUGUAAAAAGCCCUGUGUGCUCUGUCUAUUCAAUGUGUUUAUACUCAUGUGUAUGUGUGUGUAGGAAGGGUGCUCCCAGUGACGCACAAGGGCAGUUUGGCAUUACGCAAUGUAGAGCCAAAGCAAUCUGGCAAUCCUGGGGUGGGGCUGGAACUUCCAGGAGUUGUAUGGGACAAGGCAGGACAGGACAGGAUGGAACGUGGGAGGGCAGGACAGUGGCGUGUGAGGCAACAGGAAACAGCAAUGCCUUCUCAGUGCACUCCCUUUAGAUGACACAUUUGUUUCUACACACACAGUAUUAGUAAGCAAGUAUAAUAACAUUUACAUAAAUAAUAAUAAUUAAAAAAAAAAAAACCUUCUGGGACUCACAAAAAAUGCCUGAUGCUCACACACUUGUUUUCUUAUAAAGACAAAAGACAAAGAGGAAAAUCUUUAGUGCUCCAGAGAGAGAAGUCAAAAGACUCCCAGCACUGACCCAGUCAGACUGGAUACUCCCCAGCCUCAUGUCCUCCCCACUGACUCUCCAGUGAGAUCACAGUGCCCUGAAAUCCACACACAAACACACACUUCAUGCACAUAGACAGUCUCCUCAAGCACAAUGUCAGUGUGGUCAAGAAAGACUAUAUUCCUCUUGCUCACACUUUCCAGCUCUAUCUCAGGUAAUGUGUGUUUGGUAAACACAGACAGACAGCCUGCCAACAGAGAGCAUUGCGUGACUUGGAGUACCUGCUCUCUCUCACUCUCCCUGUGUCUAAUGCUGUGUCACUGCUUCUCAACUUACACAAAAGCCCAGUCCUCUUAUGUUGUCCAGGUGACUCACCAUUAAUCUGCAGCUCAGCCCUCAACAUCUAGGUAGCUGCUCUCUAUCUUAUUUUGUUACUGACUUCAUGACACACACGGAUAAAAAGACAGACAGACAGACAGACAGACACACACACACACACACCUCAUCUCCUAUGAAGACAUUGUGGAUAAUUAAUGACAGGUAAAAAACAUGCAGUGGAGAAGUAUUUCUAACUCUGUGAGAGCAUUUUUCCAUCUUAUACACUGUUUACUACAAACAAAGUCGUGGUGAGGGUUUAUGUCUGAGUACUGAAAUAACUAUACCAACUCCUAACUGUGUCUACUUUGAGAUCUGCCUAAUGCUUAAAUACACAUCAGCACUGACUCAAAGUUACUCUCUCUGACCCCAUGGGAUCUACAAUGGAGGCAGCAUUGUUGGCAUUCCUGUGGCGACCUGCACUAACCAACGCUUGGCCUCCAAAAUGAGUGGGAUCCCCACUCCUGGAUAGUAUAUCAUCACUGCAGAACAGAGCACAUGCCAGUGAGAGCACACAGUUGGAACAGAGAACUACUGUCAAACAACCAAAUGACAGGGAUCGGCUACAAGCAUGGCGGUUGCUGAAGCACAUGAACGGAAAGGAGCUUCCUCUCAGUGCCACAGUGAGAACAAAGUGUGCGUCAGUGUGCCCACUGAAGGAGGAUGUGAAAGCUGGCAGGCCAGUAGCUGCUGCUGUGAAGAGCUACUGACACAAACUGUCAACCUCCUUCUCUGGUCCAGAGGAUCUAGCAUCAUUUUUAUAAUUUUUAUAACAGUCUUGAAUUUUUCUCGAAUUUUCACUUUACAUACAGACAAUACUUUCUUUUGUAUGUGACCUUGUAUGUCACAGUGACAGUGUUAUUUGUAUUAGUUCUGUGGGCACACACUCAUAGCAUAAUGUAACAGUGCAAGUGUUCAUUCUAUAUGCGGAAACAGUGGAGUGAAUGCACUCAUGAAAUUUCAUCACAUAAUCACGUGUCAAAAACUACCUUCCAUUACAAAGCAGUCGCACACAUAGUCAGAUUCAAAGUGCAGCAAUCUGUUGGUUAUAAUUAAAUAAAGAAAUAAAACACUGAAUUUUGUCCCUGAAUUACUUCCAAAAUUGAAUGUUGCACACUAGGCUACAGUUGAAAUUAGUAAAAAUCAAAGUGGUACGGGGAAAUUACACAAUCCCCUGCUUAUUUUUUUAGAUGUGAGACCCCAACAGAUGCACCCCAUAAUCAUCCCAGCCACCAGUCGUGGCAUGGAUGCCUCUUGUUAGUUUAUGGUGGCAUAUGUAGUUGCUUCCAAAUCCCCAAGCCAGACAUUAAUGGGUGACCAUAAACUGACCAGUUCUCAGUGACCACGACCACAGGACAGGUCCAGUCAUUAACAGGUCGCUGUGGUUGUCAAGGGCCAUUUAAGCACAUUAGACACGGUCCGGCUAGCAUAACCUGUUAACCACUUCUUACAGUGGGAGACUGCUGGAGGCAAAACAGGAUAAACAUUAGAGGUUAGUUCGUUAUGAAGAAGCCCUGGUCAGGAUCUCUGAGGGAGGUAAGAGAACGCUGGACUGAGGCCAGUGAUGGAGCACAGACAGAGGGGGGGGGGGGUGUAGAAGUGGGUGGCAAGCACACACACGUACGUACAUACACACACACACACACACACAUAUAUACACACACAGAGAGAUGUUGGAGGUUAGAGGGGGCUGAUCCCAGUGAUUUAUCUGUGUGGUUGCCAUAUGACCAUAUGUUCAGAAACCUCUCCCUGACUAGCAGACAGACAGACACACUCACUCUGACCCCCCACUGAGCAAUAAGCUAUACACUGGAAAGAUAACACUUUCAUUUCAAUCCAAAUUAUUUGUGAUUUAAUGUACAAAUUCAGGACUUAGUGUCAAAUCAAAUAACCUCAAAAAACCUCAAUGUACAUGCUAAGAGGGAAACUGAAUGUAAAUAUGUUGACAUUUGAUUAUCAUUAUUAUCUAAUGAUGUGUUUCAGUGAUGGCUGAAAAAACAUGUUUAGUCUUUACUGCUAUGCUUUGUUUGCUUCUAAGCCACUACAGUUUAAUAAUCACUGUAAUUCAGUCUGUUAAAUAUUGUUACCUUUCGAACAGAUUCAAAUGGGAACCCUUUAUUUCCAUGAUUUGCCUUUAUUUUCAAUUUUGUUGUGUAUGAUCAGUCAGACCUGAAAAAAAAACUGUAAUAAUCUCAAAAAGUUCAGUGUUUUUAUAGUGAAAAUGCCAAACAUUCUCUGGUUGCAGCUUUUCAGUUGUGGGGAUUUCCUGCUUGUCUUUGACUUUUUUGAUAGUAAAUCAAAUAUCUUUGGAUUUCUAGUGGCUAGUUGGACAAAGCAAACCGUAUGAAAACAUCACCUUAAACUUUGGGGCUUUGUGAUGGGCAUUUUUCACAAUUUUUCUCACAUCUUAUAAAAAAAAAUAAUUGUCAAAAACGUAAAUU